GAUAAAGACACGGCGCACAUGUAUCAGGUUCACCCAUGACAAAAAGUCAGGAAGGGUGCUAAAAAUCAACGCAAAUAUUUAAAAUGGGAAAUAUAUCAAGGCUUGCGUGUGAUUUCUUCAAAAGAUUGCCCAAACACAGGCUAUGGGAGAACUGGUUUACCAACAAUGAUACAAAAAGGAGCUCAGAGUCUGAGCUGACCACAAGCCCUACAUGAGCUAAGGCAGAGGCUGCCAAACAAACAAAUGCAAAUGCAGGCUGCAUUAACAGAGGCAUAGCAACCAGAACAGAGAAGGGACUGCCCUACCCUGCUCCACACUCAGCCAGACCCAGCUGGAGCUCUAGGACCUUUCUGACACUUUGGGGUAUGUGCUGAGUCAAGAGAGGGUGACCAGGCUAUAGAGGCCUGAAAACCAGGCCAUGUGACAAGUAGGCAGAGGACUGAGUGGGAGCAGGGUGGCUGGAGCAGAAUCUUUGCUGCCUAGGGUCUGCAGGGCUAUCCCCCACAGAGGAAGGCAUUUUUCCUAGCAGGGAGUGAGAUCUCUUCACUUUAGGGUUGGGUGUGCAAAGCGAGCAGGGGAAAGAUUCAGAACCUCAGGCUGGCACCCAGCACUGUGCUAUCCUAGGAAGAAACAGCUAAAUCCCAAUGAAAGUCUCUGCUCACCACCUCCCCUGCUCCUGCCCUGGCCUGGGCUUGGGGGGACCCAGAGAGACGUCCAUAGGGUUCUGCCCUCCUGGAUUCUCUGGCUCAGACGAUGGCCCCAUCAUAUACUCCUGCAGCCAAGGCAGAAAUCCAGGCAUCAGCCCGGACUCUUCCCUCACGCCCCCUCGUGUGCCCCCUUCUGUUUUCCUGCAGUGCCCUGAUGUCCUCUGUUGCAUUGUUUAUCAUCUUUUAUUGUAAAGGCUCCAAUUGUCCAUUUCCCCAUCUAGAUGCAAUGAAGGCAGAGGCUGUGUCUAUCUUGUUCCCUGCUGUAUUCUGGGCACCUGGCACAGUGCCUGGCACUUAACAGGUGCUAAUUAAACACUGUUGAUUGAAUUACUUAGUCCCUUUGAUUCCAUUUGCUUGAUACUCAUUGAAUCCAUACCCUCCUGUCUCCCCCAGCCGCAGUCUUUGCUCAGAUAAUUCCACCUGGGCACUGGAGCAGUUUUCUGACUGGGCUGCUUAUCUUACCUCCACCAUUCAGUCUAUUUUCCACAUUAUAGCUGGAGUGGUCAUUCUAAAGUGCCCAUCUAUCCUACUCUGAAUCCUUCCCUGGCUUCCCAUUACUUACAG
rnacentral:lncRNA from 1 species